rnacentral:rRNA from 1 species
UCCGGUUGAUCCUGCCGGACCCCACUGCUAUCGGGAUGGGACUAAGACAUGCUAGUCGUGCGCCUCCAAGCCACGGUGGAGGCGGGGCGCACAGCUCAGUAACACGUGGCUAACCUACCCUUGGGACGGAAACAACCCCGGGAAACUGGGGCUAAUUUCCGAUAGGUGAAGACUCCUGGAAUGGAUCUUCGCCCAAAGGGCGCUUAGACCAUGCUUCUAAGCGCUGCCCAAGGAUGGGGCCGCGGCCGAUCAGGUUGUUGGUGAGGUAACGGCUCACCAAGCCUAUAACCGGUUCGGGCCGUGGGAGCGGGAGCCCGGAGAUGGGCACUGAGACAAGGGCCCAGGCCCUACGGGGCGCAGCAGUCGCGAAAACUCCGCAAUACGCGACAGCGUGACGGGGCCAUCCCGAGUGCCGUCCGCUGAGGAUGGCUUUUCCCCAGUGUAGAUAGCUGGGGGAAUAAGGAGAGGGCAAGUCUGGUGUCAGCCGCCGCGGUAAUACCAGCUCUCCGAGUGGUGGGGACGUUUAUUGGGCUUAAAGCAUCCGUAGCCGGCUGGGCAAGUCCCCUGUUGAAUCUAACGAUUCAAUCGUUGGAUUGCAGGGGAUACUGCUCGGCUAGGGGGCGGGAGAGGCCGACGGUAUUCCCGGGGUAGGGGUGAAAUCCUAUAAUCCCGGGAGGACCACCAGUGGCGAAGGCUGUCGGCUAGAACGCGCCCGACGGUGAGGGAUGAAAGCUGGGGGAGCGAACCGGAUUAGAUACCCGGGUAGUCCCAGCUGUAAACGAUGCAGGCUAGGUGUUCGGGCGGCCACGUGCCGCUCGAGUGCCGCAGGGAAACCGUUAAGCCUGCCGCCUGGGGAGUACGGCCGCAAGGCUGAAACUUAAAGGAAUUGGCGGGGGAGCACCACAAGGGGUGAAGCUUGCGGUUUAAUUGGAGUCAACGCCGGAAAUCUCACCGGGAGCGACAGCAGAGUGAAGGCCAGAUUAAAGGUCUUGCCGGACGAGCUGAGAGGAGGUGCAUGGCC